rnacentral:misc_RNA from 1 species
UACGGUGGGUGCAAGCGUUAACCGGAAUUACUGGGCGUAAAGCGCGCGUAGGUGGCUUGAUAAGCCUGCUGUGAAGGCCCCGGGCUCAACCUGGGAACGGCAUCCGGAACUGUCAAGCUAGAGUGCAGGAGAGGAAGGUAGAAUUCCCGGUGUAGCGGUGAAAUGCGUAGAGAUCGGGAGGAAUACCAGUGGCGAAGGCGGCCUUCUGGACUGACACUGACACUGAGGGGCGAAGGCGUAGGGAGCAAACAGG